ensembl:lncRNA
CCCUGGGCUCAUAUAAGAGCUAGUCACUGAUGGGAAGGAGUUCUGUAUGGUCUGGAAGACUCUUCGUGUAUUGGAAUUGCACAGAAUCGCAGGUGCUGGAAGGGACCUUAAGAGAUCAGUGAGUCCAACCUGCUGCUAAAGUAGGUUCCCUACAAUGCAUCUCACAGGUCUGGAAUCAGAUGCAUAACAGCACAGCGUAGAGUCCAAACACAUCAAGAUGUUGCAGGUCCUCUGCAACUAUAUCUCCAAAGAGGGUCAUCCUGAUGAAUGGAACUUUAUUCUGAGUGCAGAAGAUAAUCAGUCCCAAAGUAUGAAGAUAAGUCAGGAGGAAGAAAGUAGCAAGGUAACCAUUCUCCCCAGUUGGAUGGCACUUCAGAAGAGUAUUCAGCACGCAGUACUCAACAUUACAAGAGGUACUCCGGAAGAAUGACAUGCUAGAAGGGCUGAUGGAAGUCAAAAUAACUUUUAUGACAUUUUAGUACUCUGCAAUACAAGAAAAGUGCACAACAGAAACUUAAUCACAGUGCUUACAGAUGCAGGAAAUGUCAUCUAAAACCAAAUCACAACAAAAUGCAAAUCAGAGUAGUGCAUGUGCAGAGCAGAACACUUUGAUCAUUUCCUAGGAAAAGAAUCCAUCAAAAUUAAUCCAAGAUAGUGAAAAGAGAAAAGUAUUUAAUAAUCCUUACACCACCCAAGAGAACUAGAAGUUUUAUUUGAGAUGGUGACCAGUUAAAAUGCACACUGAGAUUACUAAAGUUCAGAAAGGAUCUCUGAACUGUAAAGAGAGGUACUGAAAGCAUGAAGGGAAAGUAAGAAACAAGCUGUUUCAAUAACAGUGAUAUACAUCAAAUGUGAAGAGCAUCAUCACUCAUGAAAAAAAAUUCCAGUAUAAAUGCAUUGAAAACAGAACAUAAUGGUAACUAAAAUAAUGGUAGAAACAUCCACUGAAUCUACAAGUAAAGCAUAAUUACAAAAAAAGAGGAGUCAGUGGGGUAGCAUAGCAGGAAUUAUUUGCUACUACUAACAAGAAUCAUAAGUUUUGUCUGUACAGCUCCAUAAAACAAACAAACAAACAAACAAAAAAGAUGCCAAAUCAAAACAAAAAGCAAACAAACAAACAAAACCAGAAAAAAAAAUUACAGAGCUCUUUAUGAAACCUAAACACAUGGAGCACAAACUGUUCACAUUUUUGUAUCACAGAAUCGUAGAAUCACGGAAGGACCUCAAGGAUCAGCAAGUUUCAACUCCUUGCCACAGGCAGGGUUGCCAACUGCUGGAUCAAGUACUAGAUCAAGUACUAGAUCUAGCCCAGGGCCCCAUCUAACGUGGCCUUGAACACCUCCAGGGAUCAGGCAUCCACAGCCUCUCUGGGCAACUUGUUCCAGAAUCUCACCACUCUCAGUACAAAACUUCCCCCUGACAUCUAAUCUAAGUCUCCCCUACUUUAGUUUUAAACCACUGUCCUAUUCCUAUCAUUUUAAAAAGUUGAUUUCCCCCAUGUUUAUAAACUGCCUUUAAAUAUUGGAAGGCCACAGUGAAGUCUCCCUGCAGCCUCUUUUCCAGGCUAAACAAGCCCUUUCCUUCAGUCUCAGACCACAGGAGAAGUGCUCCAGCUCUAUUCAUCUUUGUGGCCCUCCUCUGGACCCCUUCCAAAUGCUCCGCAUCUUUCCUGUGUUGGGGGACCCAGACUUGGACAUAGUAUUCCAGAUUUGGCCUCAUG